UCAUGUUAUUAAGGGCGCACGGUGGAUGCCUUGGCACUAGAAGCCGAUGAAGGACGUUACUAACGACGAUAUGCUUUGGGGAGCUGUAAGUAAGCUUUGAUCCAGAGAUUUCCGAAUGGGGAAACCCAGCAUGAGUUAUGUCAUGUUAUCGAUAUGUGAAUACAUAGCAUAUCAGAAGGCACACCCGGAGAACUGAAACAUCUUAGUACCCGGAGGAAGAGAAAGAAAAUUCGAUUCCCUUAGUAGCGGCGAGCGAAACGGGAAGAGCCCAAACCAACAAGCUUGCUUGUUGGGGUUGUAGGACACUCUGUACGGAGUUACAAAGGACGACAUUAGACGAAUCAUCUGGAAAGAUGAAUCAAAGAAGGUAAUAAUCCUGUAGUCGAAAAUGUUGUCUCUCUUGAGUGGAUCCUGAGUACGACGGAGCACGUGAAAUUCCGUCGGAAUCUGGGAGGACCAUCUCCUAAGGCUAAAUACUCUCUAGUGACCGAUAGUGAACCAGUACCGUGAGGGAAAGGUGAAAAGCACCCCGGAAGGGGAGUGAAAUAGAACCUGAAACCGUGUGCUUACAAGUAGUCAGAGCCCGUUAAUGGGUGAUGGCGUGCCUUUUGUAGAAUGAACCGGCGAGUUACGAUUUGAUGCAAGGUUAAGCAGUAAAUGUGGAGCCGUAGCGAAAGCGAGUCUGAAUAGGGCGUUUAGUAUUUGGUCGUAGACCCGAAACCAGGUGAUCUACCCUUGGUCAGGUUGAAGUUCAGGUAACACUGAAUGGAGGACCGAACCGACUUACGUUGAAAAGUGAGCGGAUGAACUGAUGGUAGCGGAGAAAUUCCAAUCGAACCUGGAGAUAGCUGGUUCUCUCCGAAAUAGCUUUAGGGCUAGCCUCAAGUGAUGAUUAUUGGAGGUAGAGCACUGUUUGGACGAGGGGCCCCUCUCGGGUUACCGAAUUCAGACAAACUCCGAAUGCCAAUUAAUUUAACUUGGGAGUCAGAACAUGGGUGAUAAGGUCCGUGUUCGAAAGGGAAACAGCCCAGACCACCAGCUAAGGUCCCAAAAUAUAUGUUAAGUGGAAAAGGAUGUGGCGUUGCCCAGACAACUAGGAUGUUGGCUUAGAAGCAGCCAUCAUUUAAAGAGUGCGUAAUAGCUCACUAGUCGAGUGACACUGCGCCGAAAAUGUACCGGGGCUAAACAUAUUACCGAAGCUGUGGAUUGUCCUUUGGACAAUGG
rnacentral:rRNA from 1 species